rnacentral:rRNA from 1 species
UACGUAGGGCCCGAGCGUUGUCCGGAAUCAUUGGGCGUAAAGAGCGUGUAGGCGGCCACUUAAGUCCUGCGUGAAAUCUUGCGGCUCAACCGCAAGCGGUCGUGGGAAACUGGGUGGCUAGAGUGCGGGAGAGGAGAGUGGAAUUCCUGGUGUAGCGGUGGAAUGCGCAGAUAUCAGGAAGAACACCCGUGGCGAAGGCGGCUCGCUGGAACGCAACUGACGCUGAGACGCGAAAGCGUGGGGAGCAAACAGG